rnacentral:rRNA from 1 species
UACGUAGGGGGCAAGCGUUAUCCGGAAUCACUGGGCGUAAAGGGUGCGUAGGCGGCUCAUCAAGUCAGGGGUGAAAGGCAUUGGCUCAACCAAUGUAAGCCUUUGAAACUGAAGAGCUUGAGUGCAGGAGAGGUAAGUGGAAUUCCUAGUGUAGAGGUGAAAUUCGUAGAUAUUAGGAGGAACACCAGUGGCGAAGGCGACUCUCUGGACUGUAACUGACGCUGAGGCACGAAAGCGUGGGGAGC